GGCUUCCUGGUUCUGCUGGAAGGCCUCCUAGGUGGGACUCAGCUGCCCUGGCUAUCUAAGGCAUGCAGCUUCAGGUGAGCACACUAGAAAGUUUCUUUUCAGUUUUAUUUGUUUUGUUUGCUCUGUGUUCCCCCAAACAAGCCAGAAAUGAGUCAUCCAUUCAUUCAUUGGUGCAUUCAUUCAUUUGGAAAAUCUUCACUGACUGAGCUUAGCACAUACUGUACUUGGCUUAGAGCUGAGAGAGAAUACAAUCAAGAUUCAGACUGACAGUGUUCCUCUGCUCCUCUCUUCAUUGGGUGAGGCUGACCACCGCACUUGACUUUGAAGCAAGCAACGAGGAUAGCUCUUGAAUAUCUGUCCAGGUUGAUGUGACUUGCAGGAAUAUGGAACAGAUUAGAAGACUCGGAAGCUGUGAUUGCUGCAGGUCAUGCAGAGAAGGUGUGCCCAAGCCAGACACCUCAUCACUUCCUGCUUCAUAUAACACCACUGUGCCUUGAGUUGAAGCCAAAGGCAAGUGGACUGUGGCACCAGACAAAGGAACUGCCUACUCUGGUGGUUGAAUUGGAUGUAGACUAGAGGGAGAUCAAAGCCAAGCCUGGAGAAAAUGACACUCUCCAGACAAGAGAUGCACACCGAGUGAAGACAUAGAUGUUUUCCAGCAGUGUUUCUCAGACUGCA
rnacentral:lncRNA from 1 species